GCUCAGGAUGAACGCUGGCGGCGUGCUUAACACAUGCAAGUCGAGCGAAGCAUUAAAACCGAUUUCUUCGGAAUGAAGUUUUAAUGACUGAGCGGCGGACGGGUGAGUAACGCGUGGGUGACCUGCCUCAUACAGGGGGAUAACAGACAGAAAUGUCUGCUAAUACCGCAUAAGCGCACAGUGCUGCAUGGCACAGUGUGAAAAACUCCGGUGGUAUGAGAUGGACCCGCGUCUGAUUAGCUAGUUGGUAAGGUAACGGCUUACCAAGGCGACGAUCAGUAGCCGGCCUGAGAGGGUGAACGGCCACAUUGGGACUGAGACACGGCCCAAACUCCUACGGGAGGCAGCAGUGGGGAAUAUUGCACAAUGGGGGAAACCCUGAUGCAGCGACGCCGCGUGAAGGAAGAAGUAUUUCGGUAUGUAAACUUCUAUCAGCAGGGAAGAAAAUGACGGUACCUGACUAAGAAGCCCCGGCUAACUACGUGCCAGCAGCCGCGGUAAUACGUA
rnacentral:rRNA from 1 species